rnacentral:lncRNA from 14 species
GUUGGGUUUCGUUUGUAUCAUCUGCCUGGUUCUUUCAUUUCCUAGUUAGCAGAGCCAAGAAACGGCUUUUUUUAUCUUCUCCAGACCUGUAAAUAG